rnacentral:rRNA from 1 species
CUUGACAUCCAGCGAACUUUCCAGAGAUGGAUUGGUGCCUUCGGGAACGCUGAGACAGGUGCUGCAUGGCUGUCGUCAGCUCGUGUUGUGAAAUGUUGGGUUAAGUCCCGNAACGAGCGCAACCCUUUAUCCUUUGUUGCCAGCGAUUCGGUCGGGAACUCAAAGGAGACUGCCGGUGAUAAACCGGAGGAAGGUGGGGAUGACGUCAAGUCAUCAUGGCCCUUACGAGUGGGGCUACACACGUGCUACAAUGGCGCAUACAAAGAGAAGCGACCUCGCGAGAGCAAGCGGACCUCAUAAAGUGCGUCGUAGUCCGGAUCGGAGUCUGCAACUCGACUCCGUGAAGUCGGAAUCGCUAGUAAUCGUGGAUCAGAAUGCCACGGUGAAUACGUUCCCGGGCCUUGUACACACCGCCCGUCACACCAUGGGAGUGGGUUGCAAAAGAAGUAGGUAGCUUAACCUUCGGGAGGGCGCUUACCACUUUGUGAUUCAUGACUGGGGUGAAGUCGUAACAAGGUAGGCGUAGCGAG